rnacentral:rRNA from 1 species
CCUACGGGUGGCUGCAGUGAGGAAUAUUGGUCAAUGGCCGGAAGGCUGAACCAGCCAAGUCGCGUGAGGGAAUAAGGCCCUAUGGGUCGUAAACCUCUUUUGUCAGGGAGCAAAGGCGUCCACGAGUGGACGAAAGGAGAGUACCUGAAGAAAAAGCAUCGGCUAACUCCGUGCCAGCAGCCGCGGUAAUACGGAGGAUGCGAGCGUUAUCCGGAUUUAUUGGGUUUAAAGGGUGCGUAGGCGGGGUGUCAAGUCAGCGGUAAAAUUUCGGGGCUCAACCCCGUCGUGCCGAUGAAACUGACACCGUUGAGUGAGUCAGAAGGAGGCGGACUGCGUGGUGUAGCGGUGCAAGGAAUAGUA